GACGAACGCUGGCGGCGUGCUUAACACAUGCAAGUCGAACGAUGAACCCGGAGCUUGCUCCGGCGGAUUAGUGGCGAACGGGUGAGUAACACGUGAGUAACCUGCCCUUGACUCUGGGAUAACUGCUAGAAAUGGUAGCUAAUACCGGAUACGACCCUCGGUGGCAUCACCAGGGGGUGGAAAGAAUUUCGGUCAAGGAUGGACUCGCGGCCUAUCAGCUAGUUGGUGAGGUAACGGCUCACCAAGGCGACGACGGGUAGCCGGCCUGAGAGGGGGACCGGCCCCACUGGGACUGAGACACGGCCCAGACUCCUACGGGAGGCAGCAGCGGGGAAUAUUGCACAAUGGGCGCAAGCCUGAUGCAGCAACGCCGCGUGAGGGAUGACGGCCUUCGGGUUGUAAACCUCUUUUAGUAGGGAAGAAGCGAAAGUGACGGUACCUGCAGAAAAAGCACCGGCUAACUACGUGCCAGCCGCCGCCGUAA
rnacentral:rRNA from 1 species